rnacentral:rRNA from 1 species
GACGUAGGGCGCGAGCGUUGUCCGGAUUUAUUGGGCGUAAAGAGCUCGUAGGCGGCUUGUCGCGUCGACCGUGAAAACUUGGGGCUCAACCCCAAGCCUGCGGUCGAUACGGGCAGGCUCGAGUUCGGUAGGGGAGACUGGAAUUCCUGGUGUAGCGGUGAAAUGCGCAGAUAUCGGGAAGAACACCCGUGGCUAAGGCGGCUCUCUAGUACGGUACUGACGCUGAGACGCGAAAGCGUGGGGAGCGAGCAGG